rnacentral:rRNA from 1 species
GAUGAACGCUGGCGGCGUGCUUAAUACAUGCAAGUCGAACGAACAUUAAGAGUGCUUGCACUUUUAAUGUUAGUGGCGAACGGGUGAGUAAUACAUAGGCAACUUGCCCCAAGGACUGGGAUAACACUUAGAAAUGAGUGCUAAUACCGGAUAGGUAAUACAAAGGCAUCUUAGUAUUAUUAAAGUUGGGUAUCCAACACCAUGGGAUGGGCUUAUGCUGUAUUAGCUAGUUGGUGAGAUAAAAGCCCACCAAGGCGAUGAUACAUAGCUGGUCUGAGAGGAUGAACAGCCACAUUGGGACUGAGACACGGCCCAG